GGCGGCGUGCCUAACACAUGCAAGUCGAACGGAAGUUAGAGCUUCGGUUUUAACUUUAGUGGGCGAACGGGUGAGUAACGCGUGAGGAACCUGCCUUUCAGUGGGGGACAACAGUUGGAAACGACUGCUAAUACCGCAUGAUACUUUUGGGAGACAUCUCCUGGAAGUCAAAGCUUUAUGUGCUGAAAGCGGGGGAUCGCAAGACCUCGCGCGACUGGAGCGGCCGAUGUCUGAUUAGCUGGUUGGUGGGGUAAAAGCUUACCAAGGCGACGAUCAGUAGCUGGUCUGAGAGGAUGAUCAGCCACAUUGGGACUGAGACACGGCCCAGACUCCUACGGGAGGCAGCAGUGGGGAAUUUUGGACAAUGGGGGAAACCCUGAUCCAGCCAUGCCGCGUGCGGGAUGAAGGCCUUCGGGUUGUAAACCGCUUUUGUCAGAGACGAAAAGGGACCCGUGAACAACGGGUUCCGCUGACGGUAUCUGAAGAAUAAGCACCGGCUAACUACGUG
rnacentral:rRNA from 1 species